CAACUUUCAGCAACGGAUCUCUUGGCUCUCGCAUCGAUGAAGAACGCAGCGAAAUGCGAUAAGUAAUGUGAAUUGCAGAAUUCAGUGAAUCAUCGAAUCUUUGAACGCACCUUGCGCUCCUUGGUAUUCCGAGGAGCAUGCCUGUUUGAGUGUCAUGGUA
rnacentral:rRNA from 2 species